rnacentral:rRNA from 1 species
UACCCGCAGCACAAGUGGUGGUCAUUAUUAUUGGGCCUAAAGCGUCCGUAGCUGGCCUGUUAGAUGCCUGGGUAAAUCGAUGCGCUCAACGUAUCGAACUCCGGGUAGACCGGCAGGCUUGGGACCGGGAGAGAUGUGAGCUACUCGAGGGGUAGGGGUAAAAUCCUGUAAUCCUUCGGGGAGGACCAGUGGCGAAGGCGUCACAUUAGAACGGCUCCGACAGCGAGGGACGAAGCCCUGGGGCGCAAACCGG